rnacentral:rRNA from 1 species
UAAAAACCCCGACUUCGGAAGGGGUGUAUUUAUUAGAUACAAAACCAAUGCCCUUCGGGGCUCUUUGGUGAUUCAUGAUAACUAUACGAAUCGCACGGCCUUGCGCCGGCGAUGGUUCAUUCAAAUUUCUUCCCUAUCAACUUUCGAUGUUUGGGUAUUGGCCAAACAUGGUUGCAACGGGUAACGGAGGGUUAGGGCUCGACCCCGGAGAAGGAGCCUGAGAAACGGCUACUACAUCCAAGGAAGGCAGCAGGCGCGCAAAUUACCCAAUCCCGACUCGGGGAGGUAGUGACAAUAAAUACUGAUACAGGGCCCUUUCGGGCCUUGUAAUUGGAAUGAGUACAAUUUAAAUCCCUUAACGAGGAACAAUUGGAGGGCAAGUCUGGUGCCAGCAGCCGCGGUAAUUCCAGCUCCAAUAGCGUAUAUUAAAGUUGUUGUGGUUAAAAAGCUCGUAGUUGAACCUUGGGCCUGGCUGGCCGGUCCGCCUCACCGCGUGCACUGGUCCGGCCGGGCCUUUCCCUCUGUGGAACCCCAUACCCUUCACUGGGCGCGGCGGGGAAACAGGACAUUUACUUU